rnacentral:rRNA from 1 species
CCUUGUACACACCGCCCGUCACGCCAUGGAAGCUGGGGGGACCUGAAGCCGGUGGGCUAACCGCAAGGAGGCAGCCGUCAAAGGUCAAUUCAGUGACCGGGGCG